UAGGGAAUCUUCCACAAUGGACGCAAGUCUGAUGGAGCAACGCCGCGUGAGUGAAGAAGGUUUUCGGAUCGUAAAGCUCUGUUGUUGGUGAAGAAGGAUAGAGGCAGUAACUGGUCUUUAUUUGACGGUAAUCAACCAGAAAGUCACGGCUAACUACGUGCCAGCAGCCGCGGUAAUACGUAGGUGGCAAGCGUUGUCCGGAUUUAUUGGGCGUAAAGCGAGCGCAGGCGGAAUGACAAGUCUGAUGUGAAAGCCCACGGCUCAACCGUGGAACUGCAUCGGAAACUGUCAUUCUUGAGUGCAGAAGAGGAGAGUGGAAUUCCAUGUGUAGCGGUGGAAUGCGUAGAUAUAUGGAAGAACACCAGUGGCGAAGGCGGCUCUCUGGUCUGCAACUGACGCUGAGGCUCGAAAGCAUGGGUAGCGAACAGG
rnacentral:rRNA from 1 species